ensembl:lncRNA
CUCUCGUUAAUUAUAGCCCCGCCCACCGUCAGGCCCCGCCUUCUCGGGACCGAAGUCUCCGCCGCACCGGACACGGGACUCUCCGAGGUCGCUCACUGCCGGUGGGUGUGAUCAAGGCCAGGAUGCCGUUGGAGCCGGCCCUGGUGCUCUCUCCUUCCCUGCCCCCGGUUUCCAGUCGUCAAGAUCGCGGGUUCUCUGGAGUGCGCUCGGAGUCAGUUGUCAGGAGUCCCGCGGACGGCGUCCAGAAGUGGGCCUUUGGCGCCACCUGUCUUCGGUGCUUGCAGCCACCAGGAAAGCACAGCACUGCUCAAUGAACAAUUGCUUCACUCGUUAAGUAUUUGUGUAACUCUAACAUCUGCCGACUCCCCCCAGCAGAACAGCAGAUCUGCUCUCAUCGUAUUUGGAAGACCCUGGCCCUCAAGCUGAGUGGUCUUUGUGUCUUUAUAGCAGCUUGGGGUCCUUCCUCUUGAAUCCCGUUUCCCAGGGACAAAAGCACAGCCUCUCACCUGGGGGCCAAGAAUUGUUAGAGAGCAGAGCCAGUGAAUAGUGACAGCCAUGUCUCUGGUCCGGAAAUGCCCGCCUCCCAAGGAACUUGCUUUUGGAGUUGGAGCACAUGGGAUCUUCAGUCUUUAUCACGGCAUGUGGGAUCUAGCUCCCUGACCAAGGAUUGUACCUUCGCCCCCUGCAUUGGAAGCAAGCAUCUUAGCAACUUGAGCACCAGGAAAGCCCCUGAUUGCAUUCUGGAAGAUGGCCGCUAAUAUAUCUCCCACCUCACAUGCUGAUCUUACAAUGUGAUGCUGAGGAGCCUCCACGGAGAGGUGAGGGUCUUAUGUUCCCUCCCCUUGAAACUGGGUGGGCCUUUGAAAUAGG